rnacentral:sRNA from 1 species
AUUCUGCCCAUGCGGGGAAGGACGAGAAGCUUCGACCAAGGUUCGACUCGAGCGUCAGCGAGAGAGCGUUGCCGCAGGCAACGACCCGUAGGGCGAAGCGCGCA